rnacentral:rRNA from 1 species
UACGUAGGUGGCAAGCGUUGUCCGGAUUUACUGGGCGUAAAGGGCGUGCAGGCGGUCUGUUAAGUCUAGGGUGAAAGCUCCCGGCUCAACUGGGAGAGGUCCUUGGAUACUGGCGGACUUGAGGGAUGCAGAGGAAAGUGGAAUUCCCGGUGUAGUGGUGAUAUGCGUAGAUAUCAGGAGGAACACCGGUGGCGAAGGCGGAUCUCUGGGCCUUACCUGACGCUGAGGCGCGAAAGCUAGGGGAGCGAACAGG